AGUGAACGCUGGCGGUAGGCCUAACACAUGCAAGUCGAACGGCAGCACAGAGGAGCUUGCUCCUUGGGUGGCGAGUGGCGGACGGGUGAGGAAUACAUCGGAAUCUACUCUGUCGUGGGGGGUAACGUAGGGAAACUUACGCUAAUACCGCAUACGACCUACGGGUGAAAGCAGGGGACCUUCGGGCCUUGCGCGAUUGAAUGAGCCGAUGUCGGAUUAGCUAGUUGGCGGGGUAAAGGCCCACCAAGGCGACGAUCCGUAGCUGGUCUGAGAGGAGGAUCAGCCACACUGGAACUGAGACACGGUCCAGACUCCUACGGGAGGCAGCAGUGGGGAAUACUGGACAAUGGGCGCAAGCCUGAUCCAGCCAUACCGCGUGGGUGAAGAAGGCCUUCGGGUUGUAAAGCCCUUUUGUUGGGAAAGAAAUCCAGCUGGCUAAUACCCGGUUGGGAUGACGGUACCCAAAGAAUAAGCACCGGCUAACUUCGUGCCAGCCGCCGCCGUAA
rnacentral:rRNA from 1 species